UUCAUCGGAUCAAGCCUUUCAUUCACCAUAAAAGAACUCAUCUUAACCCAGUUUCACUACGUAUCUGGGAUGGGGUGAAAAAGUCCUCGGCGCUCUCCGAGUACAGCCGCCUGCUCUGCUAACACCUUGGAGGAACUGCUGUCAUAUCCAAUAGCAGUUGAAGCUGUUAUGUCCAAUAAUCAGGUCACAUGAAGAAUAAUUGUGGCUCUGAAAGUGGAGAUGGUCGUCUGCACCCUACAUGAGGGACAAGUGAAACUGGAAGCCCGUUCAAUGGUGAAGAGUCUGAUAUAAAGCAGGACACCUUUCUGCAGACUUUGGUGGGAAUGAAAACCUGUGGACUCUUGGCACUCCGUGUCAGAAAGUGGUGUAUCCCUGCCAUGUUGAACAGACACAGCUGAAGCCUGUACAGCAGUGGUGAGAAAGAGAGAUGAAACCAGUUGUCUGCACACGUGUAAGCAAAAUGUGACAUUUUUUUAAUUUUCAAACCAUUAUUGUAAUUGCAGUUUUGGUGUACAAGUUUUCUCAGAUUAAAAUAUAUAAUUCUUUCUUUUUAAU